rnacentral:rRNA from 1 species
UACAGAGGGUGCGAGCGUUGUCCGGAAUCACUGGGCGUAAAGGGCGCGUAGGUGGUGGCUUAAGCGUGCGGUGAAAACCCGAGGCUCAACCUCGGGCGUGCAUUCCAAACUCCCGGGCUCGAGGCAGGUAGGGGAGAUCGGAAUUCUCGGUGUAGAGGUGAAAUUCGUAGAUAUCGAGAGGAACACCGGUGGCGAAGGCGGCCUUCUGGACAGUGACUGACGCUGAGACGCGAAAGCGUGGGGAGCAAACAGG